rnacentral:sRNA from 1 species
CCCUAGCCCCGAGUGAAAUGAAAAGCUUUUUGCGAAAGCCGUUUUGGUUUUUCUAGUUUAUAAAAAGCGACCAAAGGAAGCUCUUUUAUGAACUUCAGAAAAACAAACGGGUUUGCAAAAACUUGCAAUGAAAAGCGGGAAAUAGC